UUAGAAUAUUUCUUUAUUGGUGUGUACAGACGGUUAUUCAGAGCCUCUGUGUUUAUUCACAUUUUCUAGAAGUAUUUUAGAAUUUUACAAUACACUGAUGAUCACUUGCAUUCUCUCUACAUGGUGUACUGAUGAGUUCACGAUGAGAAAUCAAUUUAAUAUCAUGUCACUAUGCUAACAGCACUAACAAACAAAACAGAUUGAAAUGUACAGAGCACUUGGAUGGAAAUGUUCCUGAUGUUCCUGUGAGAGGAGAUCAAUCCACUGAAAUGCAUAUAAACACAACACAGAGGAUCCAGUAAUCAUGUGCUGAUGAUCUGUUCUGCGAUUUUUCGCAAUAUUAAAUUCACAAUGUUCAUCAGCAAGCGUUUAGUUAUUUAAUACGUAAAGAAACUAGGCAUGCUUACAGAGAGCCGAUGCUCAGCACUGAACUCAAAAAUACACCAAAAUUAUAAUUAAUGUUAAUAUUUAAUCUGGAAACCAGUAACCAGUAGCAUGUAACCUGCUCACUAACACCAGUGUUCACAUUCACAUGCCUGAAAAUCUGUGCAUCAAAAACCUCCUGAUAAACAGAUGAUUACUACAAUGUUAAACUGCACUGAGAGGGCGGGGUUACAGAGAGCUAAUGAGAACUGAGAGGGCGGGGUUACAGAGAGCUAAUGAGAACUGAGAGAGUGGGGUUAGAGAGAGCUAAUGAGAACUGAGAGGGCGGGGUUAGAGAGAGCUAAUGAGAACUGAGAGGGUGGGGUUAGAGAGACCUGAUGAGAACUGAGAGGCGGGGUUAGAGAGCUGAUGAUAACGGAGAGGGCGGGGUUAGAGAGAGCUGAUGAGAACUGAGAGGGCGGGGUUAGAGAGAGCUGAUGAGAACUGAGAGGGCGGGGUUAGAGAGAGCUGAUGAUAACGGAGAGGGCGGGGUUAGAGAGAGCUGAUGAGAACUGAGAGGGCGGGGUUAAAGAGAGCUAAUGAGAACUAAGAGGGCGGGGUUAGAGAGCUAGCUAAAUUGCGGAGGCAACAUUUGUGCUGCAUAUUUACUUAAAAUCGACAUUUUCAAGAGGAAUCAAAUUUCCUUUUUAUUUUUAUUAUCUGUGUUUACAAUUGUUUAGACCGGAAAUGAUGUCAUACAUUUGAUUUACAGUAAAACGCACGCUGCGCUGGUCCGAGUCCAUCCC